GCUCCCUGCCUCAGACCCCCUUUUUUUUUUUUUUUUUCAGUUGAAUGGGCGACUCUCUCCCAGGUGUUCCAGUCGCCAGUUGAAAAGGCGCCGGGAUUUGUGUGCCACUUUGUGCGGCUGCGCCAGCGUGCUGGGGACUCGUCGCGCUUUUCCACCCAGGAAUCUCCUGGCCUCGCUCCCUGUUUCAGUCACCUUUUAUUCAGUUGCAGGCCACCCUGUCUCCCAGGCAUUCCAGUCACACUCUAGCUGGGAGCUGCAAUCCAGAGCUGCUCCUACUGGGCCAUCUUGGAUCCCCCCUCAGUUCCACUUUCUUAACCACCACAUGUGACACACGUUUAAACCCUGUGUAGUGAGAAGACUCUGCCUUUUUGGACAAUCCUUGAUCCUCACUCUCCAACUAAAGUUUAGGAAGAAAGACACCAUUGAAAUUCAAUACAGAGUUCUGAGGAUUCUAGCCUUCAUUCCUCUCGACUCCAACUAGGAAGAGUGCUAGUACCUCUUGUGAAGCUUUACACCUGAAAUUGCCUGUGGACACCAAGGUGCUUUGGAAAAGUUCUUCACCUUUGCAUGUGUCAAGAGAAAAGUAAGAGAGAAAAAAAAGAGUGUUGCUGGUGUGCCCCCAAAGGUUUAGAUCCAGAUGAUUUGCUUUUCUUUUGUUUAAUUCUUUUCAGAAUAGUAUCAUGCCCAUUGUUAUUAUUUUUUUUGAAGCCCUCAUUUCUAAAAAUUAUUGAAGUAAUUGAAAAAAAAAAAAUAAGGUAGGGAAACCUAAACCCUUAAAAGGAAAGACAUGGAAAGUACAACUUUUAUACUGUGGGGGAGAAAAUAACUUCUGAGACAAUAAAUAGCUAAAACCAAUUCAAAGAAUCCAAUACAUUAAAACUACCAAAAUGUCAUCGAUGGUUUUCAUGUCAGUGCUAAGUGAAUAAACUUUUUGAAAAGUAUGGAAUAGAAGGAAAGUGAUAAAAAAAAGUUUACUUCAAAAUAGAAGAUCAGCUAUACUCUAGCUGAGGAUUUUACAUUUGAAACUGGUUGUUUGGUGUCUUAGUACCUCAGUGACUCUGGAGUAUGUAAAUGAUAGACAUAAGGAAAUGGUGAGGAGGGGAACAG